UACGAAGGGGGCUAGCGUUGUUCGGAAUUACUGGGCGUAAAGCGCGCGCAGGCGGCUAUCCAAGUCAGUGGUGAAGGCCCGGAGCUCAACUCCGGAACUGCCAUUGAAACUGUUUAGCUUGAGGAUGAGAGAGGUGAGUGGAAAUUCCCAGUGUAGAGGUGAAAUUCGUAGAUAUUGGGAAGAACACCGGUGGCGAAGGCGGCUCACUGGCUCAUUACUGGCGCUCGAGGCGCGAUAGCGUGGGGAUCAAACAGG
rnacentral:rRNA from 1 species